GGAACCAGGAGGUCGCGCCGCAGCUCGCGUGACGCACCGCGGGGCCUCGCCCGGGUGUUCGCUCCGCCGCCUGUCCGCGGAUCGGCGCUGCGAGCCCCGCGGCUGCCUGCGGGACACCUGAGCGCGGAGGGUGCGGCACGGUGGCACCUUGACCCUGUGGCAGGGACAUCUCGGCCCAGGAAAGAAUGAGGUUUAGGCACGGCCUAACCACCUAAGUGAGGGCACUGAAGCUGCAGGGGGAAGGGCAAGGUCCGCGUUGCAGAGCCCAAGCCCAGUGGCGCAGGAUUUGUUUUGGUCUCAGUUUGCUUCAUCUCUGGAAUGGAGAUGGUUUCCUAUGUGAUCAUGAAAAUUUCUCCCAGCUCUGAAGACCUUUUAUUUUGUAAGAAUCAUUGUGAAGGUAUGGGCUUGGCAAAUGAAUGGAAAGAUGAGCAAUGGGAGAGGAAAGAAUUGAAGAGGGCUGUGAGGUUUGAAGAAUGGAGGGAAGUUCCUUACUCAUUUGACCCAAAUGCUCAUCUUCACAUAGGGAUAUUUGGGCUCCACCAUAUAAAAAAGUAGAUGAUGUUUCCCUAUGUUGCCUAAGCUGGUUUCGAACUCCUGGGCUCAGCAUCCCCCAUGAAGUGGCGCUGAAAGAUCACGUUAGCACAGUUCCAUGAUGUGAAAUACCACAAGUCUGCAAUUUUUCGGUCUUGAGAGUGUCGCUGGGCUGAGAGGAUGGAAAUCUUUCAGUAAUUAUACCAGUUUGUAUUCGUCUCACAUUUGGGACCAAAUACAAAUCCGAUCCACUCUUUCUCCCUGUGAAUAUUCAUAAAAAACAAAGUGCCAAUUCUGGUCUAAUCAUGUAUGGAACCAAAUAUGUUGAUGAGUCCUAAGUAUAUACUGUAUGUAUGUAUACAUAUGAAUAUAUAUAUUUGUACACACUAAUUUUGCUUGUGUCCUCCUCUGUGCAAUUUGUUUGUUUAGUAUAGGGGUUGCUGUUAUAAUGUGUUAAUAAGCUGCUGAAAGCUUGGCACCUAUUACUUGAAAUGACAGCUAUGUUAGAAGCCUAUUAACACUCCAUAGCAGCAGCUCUGCAGCUACUAGAAAUGAAUUUCAAAGAAGGUAAAUGAACAAAAGCGAUUCAUAUCUCUAAGGAAAGCAAAUACCAUGCCUAGAACCAUAUAUACUUUGGAAAUGUACAGUGUAUAAAAUGAAAAACCUCUUCCAGUUAAAGAAACAGCGGAAGGGAAUAUUUGGAGAAAGGAAGACUGCCUAAAAGAUUUCCAAACAACCUUGAAGAUGUAAAUGUAAAGGAUACCAAACAUAACUUCCUCUCUUUGUUUCUAUUGUAUUUAAACCAGAUCCAUGUCAAACUUAUAAGAACAGAAUAUAGUACAGGUAGAGGAAAUUCACUUUUCAUGAGCAAAAGUUAAAUCAUCUGGAUUUAGCUCAAACUUUUUCUUCAUUUCUGAGCUUAGAAGGACACCCUUUGCUAUUGUUCUCGGAAGCAGGGCUCUUUAUGAGUCAGCUUGCUCUGCUUUUGAACUACUUUACUUACUUUUGACUGUCAUUGGAAUUUGCAAGAUGGUUGAAAGUCCUGGGUAAACCUUAACCAUGAUAAUAAAAAUGUGGUAAGUU